GAUGAACGCUGGCGGCGUGCCUAACACAUGCAAGUCGAGCGAACGGACGAGAAGCUUGCUUUUCUGAUGUUAGCGGCGGAGGGGAGAGUAACACGUGUAUAACCUACCUAUAAGACUGGGAUAACUUCGGGAAACCGGAUCUUAUACCGGAUAAUAUUUUGCACCGCAUUGGGCAAAAGUGAAAGUCGGUCUUGCUGUCACUAAUAGAUGGAUACGCGCUGCAUGAGCUGGUUGUUAAGGUAACGGCUUACCAAGGCAAGGAGGCAUAGCCGACCUGAGAGGGUGGUUGGCCAGCUGGGAAGUGAGACAGGGUCGAGACUCCUAGGCGAGGCCGCAGUCGGGAAUCUUACGCGAUGGAGGAGAGCCUGACAGAGGAACAUGGCGGGAGGGAUGAAGGAGUUCGGACCGGAAAGCGCUGUUAGUAGUAAAGAACAUAUGUGCAAGUAACUGUGAAGAUAUUGACGGUACCGGGUGAAAAAGCUACGGCUAACUACGUG
rnacentral:rRNA from 1 species